rnacentral:rRNA from 1 species
UGAGGAAUAUUGGUCAAUGGACGCAAGUCUGAACCAGCCAAGUAGCGUGCAGGAUGACGGCCCUAUGGGUUGUAAACUGCUUUUAUAUGGGGAUAAAGUGGGGAACGUGUUCCCUUUUGCAGGUACCAUAUGAAUAAGGACCGACUAAUUCCGUGCCAGCAGCCGCGGUAAUACGGAAGGUUCGGGCGUUAUCCGGAUUUAUUGGGUUUAAAGGGAGCGUAGGCCGUUUGGUAAGCGUGUUGUGAAAUGUAGGAGCUCAACUUCUAGAUUGCAGCGCGAACUGUCAGACUUGAGUGCGCACAACGUAGGCGGAAUUCAUGGUGUAGCGGUGAAAUGCUUAGAUAUCAUGAAGAACUCCGAUUGCGAAGGCAGCUUACGGGAGCGCAACUGACGCUGAAGCUCGAAGGUGCGGGUAUCGAACAGG